GAAUGUUGCCAAUAGACAAAUACUGGAGCAGGAAAAGAUGCAGAACAAUGGUAUAAAUCUAAAUCUCAAAUAAAUACAACAGGGUCACAUAUGAAAGUCCACUAAAACUUGAAUACUCUAUUGAAAGUCAAAUAAAGACAAGUAGUUGGUAUAAUGCUGAAAACUAAAAUCUCGAAGUACCAUUUCCAUAACAAGAUAAGUGUUAAAAAAUAAAUGUGCAUCCAAUGAGGGGUGAGGGUGUAUGUCUAUCACCUCCUGUGUAUAACUCAAUGAACAACAACAACAACUAAGCCUUA
rnacentral:misc_RNA from 1 species